UACGAAGGGGGCUAGCGUUGCUCGGAAUCACUGGGCGUAAAGCGCACGUAGGCGGCUUUUUAAGUCAGGGGUGAAAUCCUGGAGCUCAACUCCAGAACUGCCUUUGAUACUGAGAAGCUUGAGUCCGGGAGAGGUGAGUGGAACUGCGAGUGUAGAGGUGAAAUUCGUAGAUAUUCGCAAGAACACCAGUGGCGAAGGCGGCUCACUGGCCCGGUACUGACGCUGAGGUGCAAAAGCGUGGGGAGCAAACAGG
rnacentral:rRNA from 1 species